AAUUUUAAUUUUUUGAUUUAAAUUGAAAUUUUGAAUUGGAACAAAAAGUUUUAUUUUAAAUUUGUGUUUUAUAUUCAAAAAAAUUGAAUUUGAUUUAUAAAGUUUUAAAUGUUGUUUUGAAUUUAAAUUUACAGUUUGGUUGUAAUUUAAAAUUCAACUAUUGUUGUAGGUAUUUAAGAGGGUCACAAUAUUCUUAGUUGGAUAAAACCGGUUUUGUAGACCAAACUAUUUUACAAAGACUAAAAUACCCUUUAAAUGGGUACCUGGUGAAUGGUACCUAUGCUUCACUAGCAGGUCACCUCUAGAAUCAUAUUAAAUCUAAACCAUCUAUUAAGAAAAAUAAAUGGUCAAGAUUUAUAUGAAGUAUUGAAGUAUUCCUCUCUUUCUUUUUCC
rnacentral:lncRNA from 1 species